GAGUUGUAGUCCUGUAAGCGCGCGGAGCCCGUCGGGCGCCUAUGGAACUCGACCCGCAGGCCAAAGGGGCUCCGUUGCAAGGAAGAAGUGCGGGGUCCCGCCGCCUCCUAGACCGAGAUCGCGGUGAGCUGGCCGCGGCGCACAAUGGGCACGGCCUGGGCGGCGGCGUCCGUACUAUCGCCCUGUGCCUGCGGAUCCCGGAGCCAGCUGGUCCACCAGAAGUCUGUGUUCUGCCUGUCCCUGCAGCACGGAGGGCUGGGCUUUAUACCUGUGCCAAGGACACCAACGGCAGCAUCAGCAAGUCCGUGUUGUCUCCCAAAUAAGUGGUGUUCUCCAACAAGCUUUUAGCAGUAAUAAAGCUGACAUUUUUAUUCUCAUA
ensembl:lncRNA HDHD5-AS1 HDHD5 antisense RNA 1